rnacentral:rRNA from 1 species
UACGUAGGGUGCGAGCGUUAAUCGGAAUUACUGGGCGUAAAGCGUGCGUAGGCGGUUCGUUAAGUUCGUUGUGAAAGCCCCGGGCUCAACCUGGGAAUGGCAGUGGAAACUAGGGGACUGGAAUCUGGCAGAGGGGGGUGGAAUGCCGCGUGUAGCAGUGAAAUGCGUAGAGAUGCGGCGGAACACCGAUGGCGAAGGCAGCCCCCUGGGCUGAGAUUGACGCUCAGGCACGAAAGCGUGGGGAGCAAACAGG